rnacentral:rRNA from 1 species
GACGAACGCUGGCGGCGUGCCUAAUACAUGCAAGUCGAACGCAGUGGGGACGGGUGAGUAACACGUGGGUAACCUCCCCAUCAGAGGGGAUAACACUUGGAAACAGGUGCUAAAUCGAUAUUGAUGGAUGGACCCGCGGUGCAUUAGCUCGUUGGUGAGGUAACGGCUCACCAAGGCCACGAUGCAUAGCAGACCAGAGAGGGUGAUCGGCAACACUGGGACUGAGACACGACCCAGAAUACGAAGGGAGGCAGCAGUAGGGAAGCUUCGGCAAUGGACGAAAGUCUGACCGAGAAACGCCGCGUGAGUGAAGAAGGGUUUCGGAUCGAAAAACUCUGUUGUUAGAGAAGCGGUAUCUAACCAGAAAGCCACGGCUAACUACGUGCCAGCAGCCGCGGUAAUUC